rnacentral:rRNA from 1 species
GACGAACGCUGGCGGCGUGCUUAACACAUGCAAGUCGAACGAAGUGGCGAACGGGUGAGUAACGCGUAAUCAACCUGCCCUUCAGAGGUGGACAACAGUUGGAAACGACUGCUCAUACCGCAUACUGAAGGAGGGGAUUGCGUCUGAUUAGCUAGUUGGAGGGGUAACGGCCCACCAGGGCGAUGAUCAGUAGCCGUGCUGAGAGGGUGGACGGCCACAGUGGGACUGAGACACGGCCCAGACUCCUACGGGGUGCAGCAGUGGGGAAUCGUCCGCAAUGGACGAAAGUCUGACGGAGCAACGCCGCGUGAGUGAUGACGGCCGUCGGGUUGUAAAGCUCUGUUAAUCGGGACGCGGUACCGGAAUAGAAAGCCACGGCUAACUACGUGCCAGCAGCCGCGGUAAUAC